rnacentral:rRNA from 1 species
GAUCCUGGCUCAGGACGAACGCUGGCGGCGUGCCUAAUACAUGCAAGUAGAACGCUGAAGGAGGAGCUUGCUUCUCCGGAUGAGUUGCGAACGGGUGAGUAACGCGUAGGUAACCUGCCUGGUAGCGGGGGAUAACUAUUGGAAACGAUAGCUAAUACCGCAUAACAGUAGAUAUCGCAUGAUAUGUGCUUGAAAGGUGCAAAUGCAUCACUACCAGAUGG